GGUGGGGUAACGGCUCACCUAGGCGACGAUCCCUAGCUGGUCUGAGAGGAUGACCAGCCACACUGGAACUGAGACACGGUCCAGACUCCUACGGGAGGCAGCAGUGGGGAAUAUUGCACAAUGGGCGCAAGCCUGAUGCAGCCAUGCCGCGUGUAUGAAGAAGGCCUUCGGGUUGUAAAGUACUUUCAGCGGGGAGGAAGGGAGUAAAGUUAAUACCUUUGCUCAUUGACGUUACCCGCAGAAGAAGCACCGGCUAACUCCGUGCCAGCAGCCGCGGUAAUACGGAGGGUGCAAGCGUUAAUCGGAAUUACUGGGCGUAAAGCGCACGCAGGCGGUUUGUUAAGUCAGAUGUGAAAUCCCCGGGCUCAACCUGGGAACUGCAUCUGAUACUGGCAAGCUUGAGUCUCGUAGAGGGGGGUAGAAUUCCAGGUGUACGCGGUGAAAUGCGUAGAGAUCUGGAGGAAUACCCGGUGGCGAAGGCGGCCCCCUGGACGAAGACUGACGUCAG
rnacentral:rRNA from 1 species